rnacentral:ncRNA from 1 species
UCCAUCGUGAGUUGGAAUCUGAAGGAAGCUUUAGGUAAAGUCUUGACCUGACGAACAGAAACUAUAUAUAAGGCUAGAAAUGUCGGAUAAGGUUGCAUAUCAAACUGAAGUCCUAAGCUGUACAGAGACAUCAUAGUAAAUAUAGCAGGUAUAUGAGAUGAAAGUUAUCGUU